UAGGGAACAGUGAGUAAUAGUGAGUAGGGAACAGUGAGUAAUAGUGAGGAACAGUGAGUAGGGAACAGUGAGUAGGGAACAGUGAGUAGGGAACAGUGAGUAAUAGUGAGUAGGGAACAGUGAGUAGGGAACAGUGAGGAACAGUGAGUAGGGAACAGUGAGUAGGGAACAGUGAGUAGGGAACAUGGAAUAUCGAGUAAGGAGUAGUGAGUAAGGAGGAGUAGGGAAUAGUGAAUAUUGUAUAGAGGAAGUAGAGAGUAGAGAAUAGGGAGUAGUGGAGAGGGCAUAUGGUACAGGAAGUAGGGGAUAGAGAGUAGUGAGUAGGGGAUCGGGAAUAGGGAAUAGAGGAUCGGGAA
ensembl:lncRNA